CCUUAUUCUUGUUUACGUACGAAUUGGAUUCGUUCGAAUGUAUCGCUGAUUCGCAUUCUCGUUUUCGUUCGAAGCAAAUUCGAACCAUUCGAUCUUUCGAACAUCAAUCAUUCGAAGGUUUAGUCUAUUCUCGUUUUCGUUCGAACGCGUAUUUUUGUUUACUUUCAAUCCGCCACUCGGAACUUGCGGAUCGGAACGUAUCGCGAUUUUUUUUCUUCUCCAAAGUUGGUCUUUUCAUCACGAAACUUAAAAUGUUCAAAUGCAACAACAAAGACCAAUUUUUUUUACUGGUCGGAAACUUGGAGCAACAACCCAACAUCGCUAAGUGUUUCGCUAAAUUUACUACGGGUCCAUCCGGAGCAUUUCCUGAAGAAAAUUACUUAAGUAAUCCACGGACUGAUGCAAAACGAACUUAUUGUAAAAUUUUCGGAGGUGACAUUCCGAAAAUCCCUGGAAGCCCAAAAUAAUUUCCUGAAGUAUUGGACUGUGAUGUAACUAAAAUUCGUGAUAUUUUAUGUGAUGUUUAUUAAACUUGGAGAAAAUAAUCGUGAAACGAA